UUAAGGGGCAGCGUCCAAAACCAUCCAUAGAAACAGUAAAGGAUCACUACUCCCCUCUCUCCAUCCGAGGUAUCGUCAUUACUUGUAGAAGUAUUGUCAGGUGUCAGAAAUCCGAUUAUGAACCCAGACAAAACUGUAACUGCGCCCAUGGAGCUCAUGGAACGGCCUGAAUAUUAGAGAUCCUCCAAAUAAAACAUCAUCUCCACAUCAACAUACAAUAAGGGAAUGAAAAUAGUCAUAGGAAACAAAAUGAU